rnacentral:rRNA from 1 species
UACGAAGGGGGCUAGCGUUGCUCGGAAUUACUGGGCGUAAAGGGCGCGUAGGCGGCGCACUUAGUCAGGCGUGAAAGUCCUGGGCUUAACCUGGGAACUGCGCUUGAUACGGGUGUGCUAGAGGACGGAAGAGGCUCGCGGAAUUCCCAGUGUAGAGGUGAAAUUCGUAGAUAUUGGGAAGAACACCGGUGGCGAAGGCGGCUCACUGGCCCGGUACUGACGCUGAGGUGCGAAAGCGUGGGGAGCAAACAGG